rnacentral:lncRNA from 1 species
GGCGCCUCUCACAUCGCUCCGUUCUAUAUUUCUAAUUUUAUGGAAUUUUUGGAUGAAAAAUAUCAAAAAAUUAGAACUACCUUUUUUAGUUUCGGGUAUAUUGGAAGCAAGUUUUAGAAUCUGAUUUUAUUUCAGAUUAUUUAUGGAAUAUAGUAGUCUGUGUAUGUGGCGCCUCUCACAUCGCUCCGUUCUAUUUUUCUAAUUUUCUGGAAUUU